CGCGAAUUCGCCCUUCGGGGCGCAGCAGGCGCGAAAACUUUACCAUGCGGGAAACCGUGAUAAGGGGACACCGAGUGCCAGCAUCAUAUGCUGGCUGUCCAGGUGUGUAAAAUACACCUGUUAGCAAGGGCCGGGCAAGACCGGUGCCAGCCGCCGCGGUAACACCGGCGGCCCGAGUGGUGAUCGUGAUUAUUGGGUCUAAAGGGUCCGUAGCCGGUUUGGUCAGUCCUCCGGGAAAUCUGACGGCUCAACCGUUAGGCUUUCGGGGGAUACUGCCAGGCUUGGAACCGGGAGAGGUAAGAGGUACUACAGGGGUAGGAGUGAAAUCUUGUAAUCCCUGUGAGACCACCUGUGGCGAAGGCGUCUUACCAGAACGGGUUCGACGGUGAGGGACGAAAGCUGGGGGCACGAACCGGAUUAGAUACCCGGGUAGUCCCAGCCGUAAAUGAUGCUCGCUAGGUGUCAGGCAUGGCGCGACCGUGUCUGGUGCCGCAGGGAAGCCGUGAAGCGAGCCACCUGGGAAGUACGGCCGCAAGGCUGAAACUUAAAGGAAUUGGCGGGGGAGCAC
rnacentral:rRNA from 1 species